AACAGGGAUUGCCUUAGUAACGGCGAGUGAAGCGGCAAUAGCUCAAAUUUGAAAGCUGGCCCCUUCGGGGUCCGCGUUGUAAUUUGUAGAGGAUGAUUCGGCGAGGGCUCCCGUCUAAGUCCCUUGGAACAGGGCGUCAUAGAGGGUGAGAAUCCCGUAUGUGAUGGGCUGCCUUAGCCAUGUGAAUCUCCUUCGACGAGUCGAGUUGUUUGGGAAUGCAGCUCUAAAUGGGAGGUAAAUUUCUUCUAAAGCUAAAUACCGGCCAGAGACCGAUAGCGCACAAGUAGAGUGAUCGAAAGAUGAAAAGCACUUUGGAAAGAGAGUUAAAAAGUACGUGAAAUUGUUGAAAGGGAAGCGCUUGCAGCCAGACUUGUCCGCAGUUGCUCAGCUUGUCUCCUGACAGGCGUACUCUUCUGCGGCCAGGCCAGCAUCAGUUCGGGCGGUCGGAUAAAGACCUGGGGAAUGUAGCUCCUCUCGGGGAGUGUUAUAGCCCUGGGUGCAAUGCGGCCAGCCUGGACUGAGGAUCUCGCUUCGGCUAGGAUGCUGGCGUAAUGGCUGUAAGCGGCCCGUCUUGAAACACGGACCAAGGAGUCUAACAUCUAUGCGAGUGUUUGGGUGUCAAACCCAUGCGCGUAAUGAAAGUGAACGGAGGUGGGAACCCUCACGGGUGCACCAUCGACCGAUCCUGAUGUCUUCGGAUGGAUUUGAGUAAGAGCAUAGCUGUUGGGACCCGAAAGAUGGUGAACUAUGCCUGAAUAGGGUGAAGCCAGAGGAAACUCUGGUGGAGGCUCGCAGCGGUUCUGACGUGCAAAUCGAUCGUCAAAUUUGGGUAUAGGGGCGAAAGACUAAUCGAACCAUCUAGUAGCU
rnacentral:rRNA from 1 species